GAAUAGGAUGGGUUUUGGGGGGCUUCUGCGGCCUUUCUUCGGGGAUUUGGAUGGUUGUGCG
rnacentral:tRNA from 1 species